rnacentral:tRNA from 3 species
GCGGAUGUGGCGGAAUUGGCAGACGCGCUAGAUUCAGGUUCUAGUGGUAGCAAUACUGUAUGGGUUCAAGUCCCUUCAUCCGCACCA